AGUGACGCUGGCGGUAGGCCUAACACAUGCAAGUCGAACGGCAGCACAGUAAGAGCUUGCUCUUACGGGUGGCGAGUGGCGGACGGGUGAGGAAUACAUCGGAAUCUACUUUUUCGUGGGGGAUAACGUAGGGAAGCUUACGCUAAUACCGCAUACGACCUACGGGUGAAAGCAGGGGAUCUUCGGACCUUGCGCGAUUGAAUGAGCCGAUGUCGGAUUAGCUAGUUGGCGGGGUAAAGGCCCACCAAGGCGACGAUCCGUAGCUGGUCUGAGAGGAUGAUCAGCCACACUGGAACUGAGACACGGUCCAGACUCCUACGGGAGGCAGCAGUGGGGAAUAUUGGACAAUGGGCGCAAGCCUGAUCCAGCCAUACCGCGUGGGUGAAGAAGGCCUUCGGGUUGUAAAGCCCUUUUGUUGGGAAAGAAAAGCAGCAGGUUAAUACCCCGCUGUUCUGACGGUACCCAAAGAAUAAGCACCGGCUAACUUCGU
rnacentral:rRNA from 1 species